rnacentral:rRNA from 1 species
UACGUAGGGGGCAAGCGUUGUCCGGAUUUAUUGGGCGUAAAGAGCGUGUAGGCGGCCAGAUAGGUCCGUUGUGAAAACUCGAGGCUCAACCUCGAGACGCCGAUGGAAACCAUUUGGCUAGAGUCCGGAAGAGGAGAGUGGAAUUCCUGGUGUAGCGGUGGAAUGCGCAGAUAUCAGGAGGAACACCGGUGGCGAAGGCGGGUCUCUGGGCAGUAACUGACGCUGAGGAGCGAAAGCGUGGGGAGCGAACAGG